rnacentral:piRNA from 1 species
UGCACUGGUAAAGUAUAUUGCUAACCCC